rnacentral:rRNA from 1 species
AUUGAACGCUGGCGGCAGGCUUAACACAUGCAAGUCGAGCGGAGAUGAGGUGCUUGCACCUUAUCUUAGCGGCGGACGGGUGAGUAAUGCUUAGGAAUCUGCCUAUUAGUGGGGGACGACAUUCCGAAGGGAAUGCUAAUACCGCAUACGUCCUACGGGAGAAAGCAGGGGAGCUUCGGACCUUGCGCUAAUAGAUGAGCCUAAGUCGGAUUAGCUAGUUGGUGGGGUAAAGGCCUACCAAGGCGACGAGCUGUAGCGGGUCUGAGAGGAUGAUCCGCCACACUGGGACUGAGACACGGCCCAGACUCCUACGGGAGGCAGCAGUGGGGAAUAUUGGACAAUGGGGGGAACCCUGAUCCAGCCAUGCCGCGUGUGUGAAGAAGGCCUUAUGGUUGUAAAGCACUUUAAGCGAGGAGGAGGCUACUGAGACUAAUACUCUUGGAUAGUGGACGUUACUCGCAGAAUAAGCACCGGCUAACUCUGUGCCAGCAGCCGCAGUAAUAC